AAGUCGUAACAAGGUCUCCGUAGGUGAACCUGCGGAGGGAUCAUUACAAGAACGCCCGGGCUUCGGCCUGGUUAUUCAUAACCCUUUGUUGUCCGACUCUGUUGCCUCCGGGGCGACCCUGCCUUCGGGCGGGGGCUCCGGGUGGACACUUCAAACUCUUGCGUAACUUUGCAGUCUGAGUAAACUUAAUUAAUAAAUUAAAACUUUUAACAACGGAUCUCUUGGUUCUGGCAUCGAUGAAGAACGCAGCGAAAUGCGAUAAGUAAUGUGAAUUGCAGAAUUCAGUGAAUCAUCGAAUCUUUGAACGCACAUUGCGCCCCCUGGUAUUCCGGGGGGCAUGCCUGUUCGAGCGUCAUUUCACCACUCAAGCCUCGCCUGGUAUUGGGCAACGCGGUCCGCCGCGUGCCUCAAAUCGUCCGGCUGGGUCUUCUGUCCCCUAAGCGUUGUGGAAACUAUUCGCUAAAGGGUGUUCGGGAGGCUACGCCGUAAAACAACCCCAUUUCUAAGGUUGACCUCGGAUCAGGUAGGGAUACCCGCUGAACUUAA
rnacentral:rRNA from 1 species